AUUGAACGCUGGCGGCAGGCCUAACACAUGCAAGUCGAACGAGUGGCGGACGGGUGAGUACUGUCUGGGAAACUGCCUGAUGGCGGGGGAUAACUACUGGAAACGGUAUCUAAUACCGCAUACCAUCAGAUGUGCCCAGAUGGGAUUAGCUAGUAGGUGAGGUAACGGCCCACCUAGGCGACGAUCCCUAGCUGGUGUGAGAGGAUGACCAGCCACACUGGAACUGAGACACGGUCCAGACUCCUACGGGAGGCAGCAGUGGGGAAUAUUGCACAAUGGUCGCAAGCCUGAUUCAGCCAUGCCGCGUGUAUGAAGAAGGCCUUCGGGUUGUAAAGUACUUUCAGCGGGGAGGCGUUACCCGCAGAAGAAGCACCGGCUAACUCCGUGCCAGCAGCCGCGGUAAUAC
rnacentral:rRNA from 1 species